rnacentral:rRNA from 1 species
CCUACGGGGGGCAGCAGUGAGGAAUAUUGGUCAAUGGCCGCAGGGCUGAACCAGCCAAGUCGCGUGAGGGAUGACGGUCCUAUGGAUUGUAAACCUCUUUUGUCAGGGAGCAAAGGGCGCCACGUGUGGCGUUUUGCGAGUACCUGAAGAAAAAGCAUCGGCUAACUCCGUGCCAGCAGCCGCGGUAAUACGGAGGAUGCGAGCGUUAUCCGGAUUUAUUGGGUUUAAAGGGUGCGUAGGCGGACUGUUAAGUCAGCGGUAAAAGCCCGGGGCUCAACCCCGGGGAGCCGUUGAAACUGGCUGUU